AUUGAACGCUGGCGGCAGGCUUAACACAUGCAAGUCGAGCGGAGCGAGGGUGCUUGCACCUUAGCUUAGCGGCGGACGGGUGAGUAAUGCUUAGGAAUCUGCCUAUUAGUGGGGGACAACAUUCCGAAAGGAAUGCUAAUACCGCAUACGCCCUACGGGGGAAAGCAGGGGAUCUUCGGACCUUGCGCUAAUAGAUGAGCCUAAGUCGGAUUAGCUAGUUGGUGGGGUAAAGGCCUACCAAGGCGACGAUCUGUAGCGGGUCUGAGAGGAUGAUCCGCCACACUGGGACUUAGACACGGCCCAGACUCCUACGGGAGGCAGCAGUGGGGAAUAUGGGACAAUGGGCGGAAGCCUGAUCCAGCCAUGCCGCGUGUGUGAAGAAGGCCUUUUGGUUGUAAAGCGCUUUAAGCGAGGAGGAGGCUCUUUUGGUUAAUACCCAAGAUGAGUGGACGUUACUCGCAGAAUAAGCACCGGCUAACUCUGUGCCAGCAGCCGCCGUAACAC
rnacentral:rRNA from 1 species